rnacentral:rRNA from 1 species
UACGAAGGGUGCAAGCGUUACUCGGAAUUACUGGGCGUAAAGCGUGCGUAGGUGGUUCGUUAAGUCUGAUGUGAAAGCCCUGGGCUCAACCUGGGAAUGGUAUUGGAUACUGGCGGACUGGAGUGCGGUAGAGGAUGGCGGAAUUCCCGGUGUAGCAGUGAAAUGCGUAGAGAUCGGGAGGAACAUCUGUGGCGAAGGCGGCCAUCUGGACCAGCACUGACACUGAGGCACGAAAGCGUGGGGAGCAAACAGG